CAGCAGCCCGAGUGGUGGUCGUUUUUAUUGGGCCUAAAGCGUCCGUAGCCGGUCUAGUAAAUCCUUGGAUAAAUCGUACAGCUUAACUGUACGGCUCCCGGGGAGACUGCUAGACUUGGGACUGGGAGAGGUCGGAGGUACUCCAGGGGUAGGGGUGAAAUCUUGUAAUCCUUGGGGGACCACCAGUGGCGAAGGCGUCCGACCAGAACGGGUCCGACGGUAAGGGACGAAGCCCUGGGUCGCGAACCGGAUUAGAGACCCGAGUAGUCC
rnacentral:rRNA from 1 species